AUACGGAGGGGGUUAGCGUUGUUCGGAAUUACUGGGCGUAAAGCGCACGUAGGCGGAUUGGAAAGUUGGGGGUGAAAUCCCAGGGCUCAACCCUGGAACUGCCUCCAAAACUAACAGUCUAGAGUUCGAGAGAGGUGAGUGGAAUUCCAAGUGUAGAGGUGAAAUUCGUAGAUAUUUGGAGGAACACCAGUGGCGAAGGCGGCUCACUGGCUCGAUACUGACGCUGAGGUGCGAAAGCGUGCGGAGCAAACAGGAUUAGAAACCCUAGUAGUCC
rnacentral:rRNA from 1 species